GGGGAUGUAGCUCAUUUGGCAGAGCGCGUCAUUAGCAGGUUAUCACAACUUGAAUUGACGAGGUACCGGGUUCAAUUCCCUGCUUCUCCA
rnacentral:tRNA from 1 species